CCCUUAGACGUUCUGGGCCGCACGCGCGCUACACUGACCAGUGCAACAAGCAUCCGUCCUUGGCCGACAGGCCCGGGCAAUCUUUGAAUGCUGGUCGUGAUGGGGAUAGACUUUUGCAAUUUUUGGUCUUCAACGAGGAAUUCCUAGUAAACGCAAGUCAUCAACUUGCAUUGAUUACGUCCCUGCCCUUUGUACACACCGCCCGUCGCACCUACCGAUUGAAUGGUCCGGUGAAGCCUCCGGAUUGGCGCGCACCUCGGUGCCGCCGAGAAGUUGGCUAAACCUUACCAUUUAGAGGAAGGUGAAGUCGUANCA
rnacentral:rRNA from 1 species